GCCUGGCUAGCUCAUUUGGUGGAGCAUGAGACUCUUGAUCUCAGGGUUGUGGGCUCAAGCCCCAAAUUGGGUG
rnacentral:tRNA from 1 species